rnacentral:rRNA from 1 species
UACGUAGGUGGCAAGCGUUGUCCGGAAUUAUUGGGCGUAAAGAGCGUGUAGGCGGCCAGACAGGUCCGUUGUGAAAACUCGAGGCUCAACCUCGAGACGCCGAUGGAAACCGUUUGGCUAGAGUCCGGAAGAGGAGAGUGGAAUUCCUGGUGUAGCGGUGAAAUGCGCAGAUAUCAGGAAGAACACCCGUGGCUAAGGCGGCUCUCUAGUACGGUACUGACGCUGAGACGCGAAAGCGUGGGGAGCGAACAGG